AAUUCUUAUAAGGCGAUUCGAUUGAGCAUGAUUAUGUUCAAAUUAACCUUUGGAUAUGGGUAGGUGUUUGGUUGACAAACUUCUUAAGCGUGUUGCAUUUUAACGAAGAAAAUUUGAAUUUUCAAAUCCCGUAUAGCGUGUAAAAAAAUAUACAUUAAACACGUAUUAUGAGCAGAAGACUACAUAGACCUAAUAUGAAAUAAAACGCACAAAAGAAUAUUACGCACAAAUAAU